rnacentral:rRNA from 1 species
UACGUAGGGUGCGAGCGUUAAUCGGAAUUACUGGGCGUAAAGCGUGCGCAGGCUGUUUUGUAAGUCAGAUGUGAAAUCCCUGGGCUCAACCUAGGAACUGCGUUUGAAACUACAAGGCUAGAGUGUAGCAGAGGGGGGUAGAAUUCCACGUGUAGCAGUGAAAUGCGUAGAGAUGUGGAGGAAUACCAAUGGCGAAGGCAGCCCCCCUGGGUUAACAC